rnacentral:sRNA from 1 species
UUAAUUGGUGGCGCACUUGGACAAGUUCUUGGUGGGCUAACGUAUACUUCUAAUUUAAACAGUUUGUUUAUAAAAAAGUUAUCACUAAGCCCGCUUCCAUAGCGGGCUUUUUAAU